rnacentral:lncRNA from 1 species
CUUUACUCCAUGAGGAAUGAAAAUACAACACCUCAAUGGGAUGUUAAGAGCGUUCAGAGGGGGCUGGGAGUGUAGUCAGUGGAAGACCAAACCCAGGGUUUAAUUCCCAGCACCAUAAAUAAUAAUAAUAAUUUAAAACAAUAUUAAGAGGCUGAGAACUUCGUUCAGUGGCAGAGUUGAAUCUCUAGCUCUGCAAAUAAUAAUAUUAACUAAUAUUAAGAUUUUUUUUUAAUUCAUAAACAUUUUUAAAACAAAAGUGGGGGACAGGGGAUGGAGUGGGAAUAGUUCCCAUGUCACAAAACUUUAAGACAAGUUCUUACUACGUUACCCAGUCAUGUCUUAAACUCUUAGGAUUAGGUGAUCCUCCUGCGUCAGCCUCCUGAGUAGCUAUGUUUAUGGGCAUAUGCCACCAUGCCUGGCCAACGUCUAGCUUUAACAGUUAUCAAGAUGUUGCCACAUUUGCUUCUGUGUUUCUGCUUCUUAUGUUCCUAUUUUCUUUUCCUUUGCUGAAUAUUUUAAAACAAAGCCUAAACUUCAUUUCAUUCACCCCUACAUUACUAGGUAUUCAUUUCAUUCUUUGAAAAUGAAAAUUUUACUGCAUAAUCAUAAUGCCAUUUCACACCCCAAAAUUAACAAUAACUCUG